rnacentral:tRNA from 2 species
GGAAGUAUAGCUCAGCUGGGAGAGCAUCUGCCUUACAAGCAGAGGGUCACAGGUUCGAGCCCUGUUACUUCCACCA